rnacentral:rRNA from 1 species
GACGAACGCUGGCGGCGUGCUUAACACAUGCAAGUCGAACGGAAAGGCCCUGCUUUUGUGGGGUUCUCGAGUGGCGAACUGGUGAGUAACACGUGAGUAACCUGCCCUUUACUUUGGUAUAACUUCAGGAAACUGGGGCUAAUACCGGAUAUGACCACCUCCUGCAUGGUGGUGUUUGGAAAGUUUCGGCGGUUGGGGAUGGACUCGCGGCUUAUCAGCUUGUUGGUGGGGUAUUGUCUUACCAAGGCUUUGGCGGAUAGCCGGCCUGAGAGGGUGACCGGCAACAUUGGGACUGAGAUACGGCCCAGACUCCUGCGGGGGGCAGCAGUGGGGAAUAUUGCACAAUGGGCGGAAGCCUGAUGCAGCAACGCCGCGUGCGGGAUGACGGCAUUCGGGUUGUAAACCGCUUUCGCCUGUGACGAAGCGUGAGUGACGGUAAUGGGUAAAGAAGCACCGGCUAACUACGUG